rnacentral:rRNA from 1 species
UACGAAGGGAGCUAGCGUUGUUCGGAAUCACCGGGCGUAAAGCGCACGUAGGCGGCUGUGUCAGUCAGGGGUGAAAUCCCGGAGCUCAACUUCGGAACUGCCUUUGAUACAGCACGUCUUGAGUCCGAUAGAGGUGGGUGGAAUUCCUAGUGUAGAGGUGAAAUUCGUAGAUAUUAGGAAGAACACCGGCGGCGAAGGCGGCCCACUGGAUCGGUACUGACGCUGAGGUGCGAAAGCGUGGGGAGCAAACAGG